CUUAAGUUUGGAUUUUAAAGUCUCCAAAGUAUCUGACUGUUUUAUUGACACAGGGAGAUCAGUCCACAGAACAGGGCUACGAUAAGAGAAAGCGCUAUGACC